rnacentral:sRNA from 1 species
GCACUGGCAAAAUCCGGUGCCGGGCGUAGGAACCCGCAUAUGAGACUCCAAGCAUUAUAGGUUGCUAACUUUUCGUUGGUUUUUU